UACGGAGGGUGCAAGCGUUGUCCGGAUUCACUGGGUUUAAAGGGUGCGUAGGCGGGCAGGUAAGUCCGUGGUGAAAUCUCUGAGCUUAACUCAGAAACUGCCAUGGAUACUAUUUGUCUUGAAUAUUGUGGAGGUAAGCGGAAUAUGUCAUGUAGCGGUGAAAUGCUUAGAUAUGACAUAGAACACCAAUUGCGAAGGCAGCUUACUACACAGUUAUUGACGCUGAGGCACGAAAGCGUGGGGAUCAAACAGG
rnacentral:rRNA from 1 species